UACGGAGGGUGCAAGCGUUGUUCGGAAUUAUUGGGCGUAAAGCGCGUGUAGGCGGUUGGGCAAGUCAGAUGUGAAAGACUUCCGCUCAACGGAAGAAGUGCAUUUGAAACUACCCGGCUUGAGUUCGGGAGAGGAGAGUGGAAUUCCCGGUGUAGAGGUGAAAUUCGUAGAUAUCGGGAGGAACACCGGUGGCGAAGGCGACUCUCUGGCCCGAUACUGACGCUGAGAAGCGAAAGCGUGGGGAGCAAACAGG
rnacentral:rRNA from 1 species